UUCAAUACUGCCUCAACCAGCCUUGCGCUAAAAAAGUAGUCUUUCCUCUGCUUCGAAGCACAAACACAGCCAAAAAGAAAAAAAUUGCUCUCCUCUACUCUUUAGCCUGCCAAGGAAAUGGUAUCUACAUCCUCAAUGAAAAUGGUACACAGUACUCACCUUGUUUUUCAGGCAGUGUGGUUAUGACCAUGUCGUUUUGAAUGCAAGCAGGCCACAUAAAAUAUCUACCAUCAGAAAUGCCUGGACUGGUUACUCUCAAAGUCCUACUUUGAACUGCCUUGGAAGAGCCUUGGCUUCAAGAUCUCACUAUGCAUCGGAUUUUCCUGUCAUUCAGCUUUCUAAAUCAUCUUCUAUGAAGAAUCAAAGAAUGAUGUGCGUCAACCCAAUUGCAAGUGUAGCUACUUAAUCAAUCCCUUUGCUUUGGUAUUCAGUAAUGAUACACUUAAAAAGUCUUUAGAACAAUGGACAGCUAAGUUUCGUUUUCAGGCAUCAUAUCUCAAUGGAUUUCUUUUCUAUCUA